rnacentral:tRNA from 1 species
AGCAAAUUUUUAGCGGUUAGGACGUCCCGCCACGGCGGGAUAACCGGGGUUCGAUUCCCCGUGGCGCUGCCA